rnacentral:rRNA from 1 species
CCUACGGGAGGCAGCAGUGAGGAAUAUUGGUCAAUGGGCGAGAGUCUGAACCAGCCAAGUAGCGUGAAGGAUGACUGCCCUAUGGGUUGUAAACUUCUUUUAUCUGGGAAUAAAAUGUUCCCCGUGUGGGCUUUUGUAUGUCCCAUAUGAAUAAGGAUCGGCUAACUCCUUGCCAGCGGCCGCGGUAAUACGGAGGAUCCGAGCGUUAUCCGGAUUUAUUGGGUUUAAAGGGGUCGGCGGUGGGUUUUUAAGUCCGUUGUGAAAGUUGGGGGCUUAACCGUCAAACUGCAGUUGAAACUGGCAGUCUUGAGUAUGGUAGAGGUGGGCGGAAUGCGUGGUGUAGCGGUGAAAUGCUUAGAUAUCACGAAGAACCCCGAUUGCGAAGGCAGUUCACUGGACUGCAACUGACACUGAGGCUCGAAAGUGUGGGUAUCAAACAGGAUUAGAUACCCGGGUAGUC